UAUUAUGACUUGUAUGGAUGCUGUCGGGGAGGGUGGAGUAUGCAGUGUAUACUUGGUCUUACUCUUUCGUAGGCCUUCCAAGUUUGGCUGUCUACUUAAGACUCAUAUAUUUGGCAUUUUUGUUUAAAGCUCUUCCUAUGCCUACCUAUUAUUCAUUACAUUUUCUAUUUGCAGGUUGGUGAAUUAACAGCUCUAUUAACAUCUGAUCUGGGUUCUCUCAAAAAUAUUGUCAGUGAGAAUACUUCACGGGAUCGUGGUUUUAGGGCACUAUCAGAGGUGGUGGGAACAUUAUCCUUAUUGUUUGCUCUAUCUCCCCAACUUGCACCAAUUCUGGGCUUGCUCAUCCUCGCAGUGUCUAUUUUAGUUGCUCUGUUCAAGAGGUCAACUGUAAAUGUCUUCCAAGCUCAUGGACUGGUCCAAGCAUCAAUAGCUGAUUCUGUGACUGAAUCAUUUUCUGCCAUUCGCACUGUGAGGUCAUUUAGUGGGGAGAAGCGUCAGAUGUCAGUAUUUGCUCGCCAGGUACUUGAGUUUGAGAGUAGUAGCAUAAAGAUUGGGACCUUCAAAUCCUUCCAUGAGUCAGUGACGAGAGUGGCAAUUUAUAUCUCGUUGAUGGCUUUAUAUUGCCUUGGUGGAAGCAAAGUAAAGGCAGGUGAAUUAUCAGUGGGAAUUAUGGCUUCAUUUAUCGGAUAUACAUUUACAUUAACUUUCGCAGUUCAAGGCCUUGUAAAUACCUUUGGAGACCUUCGUGCAGCUCUUGCAGCAACUGAGAGAAUUAACUCAGUUUUAUCCGAUGCUGAAAUUGAUGAAGCGCUUGCAUGUUCUUUAGAGAAAGACAUGAAGCAGAAGAAGGUCCAUGAUGAG
rnacentral:misc_RNA from 1 species